rnacentral:tRNA from 1 species
GAAAGGAACACAAGAACUGCUAACUCCAAUAACUGAUACUAAAAUAUCAGGCCUUUCC